CCCCCAGGUAGAAUACCAAGCCUGUUCCUGAGCCCCUCAGGUAGAAUACCAAGCCUGUUACUGAGCCCCUCAGGUAGAACACCAAGCCUGUUACUGAGCCCCUCAGGUAGAAUACCAAGCCUGUUACUGAGCCCCUCAGGUAGAACACCAAGCCUGUUACUGAGCCCCCCAGGUAGAAUACCAAGCCUGUUACUGAGCCCCUCAGGUAGAACACCAAGCCUGUUACUGAGCCCCUCAGGUAGAAUACCAAGCCUGUUCCUGAGCCCCUCAGGUAGAAUACCAAGCCUGUUCCUGAGCCCCCCAGGUAGAAUAUCAAGCCUGUUACUGAGCCCCUCAGGUAGAACACCAAGCCUGUUACUGAGCCCCUCAGGCAGAACACCAAACCUGUUACUGAGCCACUCAGGUAGAACACCAAGCCUGUUACUGAGCCCCUCAGGUAGAAUACCAAGCCUGUUCCUGAGCCCCCCCAGGUAGAAUAUCAAGCCUGUUACUGAGCCCCCCAGGUAGAAUACCAAGCCUGUUCCUGAGCCCCUCAGGUAGAAUACCAAGCCUGUUCCUGAGCCCCUCAGGUAGAACACCAAGCCUGUUACUGAGCCCCUCAGGUAGAAUACCAGGCCUGUUACUGAGCCCCUCAGGUAGAACACCAAACCUGUUACUGAGCCCCUCAGGUAUAAUAUCAAGCCUGUUACUGAGCCCCCCAGGUAGAACACCAAGCCUGUUACUGAGCCCCUCAGGUAGAAUACCAAGCCUGUUCCUGAGCCCCCCAGGUAGAAUAUCAAGCCUGUUACUGAGCCCCUCAGGUAGAAUAUCAAGCCUGUUACUGAGCCCCUCAGGUAGAAUAUCAAGCCUGUUACUGAGCCCCUCAGGUAGAAUACCAUGCCUGUUCCUGAGCCCCCCAGGUAGAAUAUCAAGCCUGUUCCUGAGACCCUCAGGUAGAAUACCAAGCCUGUUACUGAGCCCCUCAGGUAGAACACCAAACCUGUUACUGAGCCG